rnacentral:rRNA from 1 species
CCUACGGGUGGCAGCAGUGAGGAAUAUUGGUCAAUGGGCGCGAGCCUGAACCAGCCAAGUCGCGUGAAGGAUGACUGCCCUGCGGAUUGUAAACUUCUUUUGUAAGGGAAUAAAGUGAGGCACGUGUGCCUUUUUGUAUGUACUUUAUGAAUAAGGAUCGGCUAACUCCGUGCCAGCAGCCGCGGUAAUACGGAGGAUCCGAGCGUUAUCCGGAUUUAUUGGGUUUAAAGGGAGCGUAGAUGGGUGGUUAAGUCCGAUGUGAAAGUUUGCGGCUCAACCGUAAAAAUGCAAUUGAUACUGGCAGGCUGGAGUACAGGUGAGGUAGGCGGAAUUCGUGGUGUAGCGGUGAAAUGCUUAGAUAUCACGAAGAACUCCGAUUGCGAAGGCAGCUUACUAAACUGUAACUGACAUUGAUGCUCGAAAGUGUGGGUAUCAAACAGGAUUAGAUACCCGAGUAGUC